UUAGUCUUUUAGCUUGAGACUGGAUGAUGGUUCGACUGUGUAUCUAUGUCUUAUAGUAAUAUUUUGAAAUUUAUUUUUUAGUAAAAAAGCUAAAAUAAACCUUAAAGACGAGAAGACCCUAUCAAACUUUACAAAUUCAGUUUUAUUUUCUAAAUUAAUACUUAGUUUGUUUUACUGGGGCAGUUGGUGGAUUUGGUUCCAUUUUAAAAUUGUGAAUUUAAUUCUUGAUAAAUCAAAAAUUUUUUAAUAAAGAAUAAGCUACUGUAGGGAUAACAGCAUAAUUUUUUUUAAGAGUUCUUAUUGUCAAAAAAGUUUGUGACCUCGAUGUUGGAUUAAGAGACCUAA
rnacentral:rRNA from 1 species